ensembl:lncRNA
CAACGUCAUCACUGAGUACACGGUGAGUAACUCCAGGGAACAAGUGUGAGCGCUCAAUAUAAAGUGGCAUGCAUCUCAUGCCUCAUGGGAUUAUAAGACACUUGCGUUUUUUUGCGAACUAUGUGGAUGAUCGAUGUGCUCGUCACAAGUCGGUCGGAAUGAUUUCCUUCUGUUCACUCAAUAUCUAGAAUUCUUUCAACUCUCAAUAUUCAGUUCCAUCAUCCCUUCUUCAACCAGUUACCAUCCCAUGGCAUUUGUAACCACCAAUGCAAUCCUCUAAAGUCAAAAGUGAGCAGAAAGAAUAAAUCUCCACUUCAUUUGUUAUAACAGAGUUCAGUGAAGUUUGACCUCACCAGUGAGCCGCAGAAAGAGUUGGACACCACCCAGGAGCCGGAUUCAAACGGGUCGCUGACCGUCGUAAGCAACUUCUGAAUCUCCUUUGAAAGUCUUUUGAAAAAUGUUUGUUCAUCAGAGCUACAACCUGUGUGUAUGUGUACAGACUAAAGUCCUCUGAGGCAAAUUUGUAAUUGGCGAUUUUGGCCUCUACAAAAUAAAAUUAAUUGAAAUUUUAUUUAAUUGAAUAACGGAUAUAUAACAUUAAUUAAUGAAUUAAUGUUAAUUCAUUCAUUCAUUAAAGUAAGUAAAUAAAUAAAUAUUUUCCAUUGUGUGCUGGAUACCAUGACUCAUGUGCUUUCAGCCCGUGCUGCUAGUUCAAAUUCUUCUGUCUUUUGGUUUGAAGGAUCUUCUAAGGGGAGCCGCAGAGGGGCCGACUUUAUGGACCGUCACCACCCCGAACGGAGAGCAGGAGCUCCACAGGGAUGACGCCAGGUUAAAGGACUCCGGAGGCAAAGAGAUAGCAGAUUAUGAUCGUGAAGGCGCAUCAUCCCUGCAAAUGAAUCUGACAGUAGUCAACUCAACAUUCAAUUCUACAACUACACAGGAGACGGUUGCAGGUUUGCCGGAUACCGUGGCGGAGACCGUUGUCCUCAUUCAGGAUUCACUGAAGAAGACCUCUGGACAAAAGAAGAAGAACAGGGAACGUGGGAAGGGCAAAGGAAAUCAAGGACGGCAUAAGAGGCAGAGACAACGCCUGGCAAGUGAUGGGGACAAGCAAGAAGAAGAGGAAGAAGAGGAGUUUUAUAACAGCGAAGAAUACAGUUAUGAAUACGAGGAAGAACUUUCCCCAUCUGACUCUUCGGGUCACCAGGAGAAGAACAACAGCAAAAAGGAGGAACAAUUGCCCACACCCCGUCCUGCUCAGACAGAAACAUUGGUGGGAGCCUCCAGUCAUCCGCCAACAUCCUCUGCAGACAGACACAUAGAUGCAGAGGAUGAAGUGUCACUUCCCACACCGCCCGUCACAACAGAAGAACCAGACGAGGAUGUCUCUUAAGUCCCAAGACAUUGUGACGAUAGGGUGAUAAGCAUUCAUAAGAAAGGCCACACUGCACCGAACGUGUGAAUAAACUGAAGUGUUUUGCUGGUGAGGAGCCCUCAACCUGACCAACACGAGGAAGGACUUCUUUCCACACAGAGACCAUGUCACCCAAUCAAACAUAUUGCCAUUGCGAAGUUCAUAUCUUUAUUUUGAGCAGAGAUGUGUAGAAAAUCAGGCACUGUUGAAUGUUCCAUAUAUUUUGUUUUCUUCAUUUUGUGCAAUGUAAACCUCAGUGUAGCCUACAUCUUGUCUACAACUCAAUUUAUUUAUUCAGACAAAUAUUUCUCUGUAAUGAAUCGGGUUAAACACAAAGGUUAUGCCACCAAAUUCAAUAUAUCUCCUUUUGACAAGUUGUACGGGAAUUUUAUUUAUUGAAACUUGGAAUAUGUUGUGUGUUUACUUCACUUUUGAACGCCAACAAUGUGUAGUGGCACUAUAAUCUUAUCUGUAUCCAGGUCAUACACUCUUUUCACUGGUGAAAUUUUCUCUGUGUUUAACUUUGCUGUGCAUGAAUCUUCAGUAAAAGAAUAUUUGAAUAACUUCCCGAGGCAAUUUGUGUCUUCUUUUUUUGAACCAUAAGAAUACACAUCACCACAGAUGGUUGAAAGGAUGAUUUUGCUUGGUUUUCUCUUCGCUUUGGGGGGCUUUGACAGGUACCUCGAUUCCGAAUCAGGGUGAAGAAAAGUGUACCGUGGCCCAAAAACAUGGUAAGCGUGUCUUGUU